CACGCGCCCAGCCAGCAGCUUUAAUUUCGCCUGUCGGUCCGAUGGGGGGAACCAUACAUUCGCCGAGAUAUCGGCCUGGUCCGGGCGGCCUGAGCGUGGGAGGGGGUCGCGGGGGCGUACUCGGCAGCUGGGGGAGGGACGCGGGGAUGGAGGGGGUGGCGUCGAUAAAUUUCUAGAGAAUCGAGCAGGGAACUAGAGUGGAGUCGAAUUGCGCCGAGUCGAGAGAGCGAACAGGGCGGGCGGUAAGAAGCCAAGAAUGGUGGGCGAUCUAGUGUACGUGGUGCUGUUUUGAGCGUCAUCGCUGUUUCCCUCCGCCCGCCCUUGGCAAAGUCAAACCACCCCAACAUGUGAGCGAAAACAGAGCUGGGAAAUCAGUCACCUGCUGCCGCGUGCUGCUGGGACAGGGGCGCCCCUCCUGGCCCGUCCCAGCCUGCAUCGCGGCUAGCAUGCCCUGCGACCGGGCUGGCAGGUGGUUUGGUAAAAAAAAAAAAGCGUUAGGCCCUCGUGCCCUUCUGUGUGUGUGCGACAUUCUUGUUAGGAGUUGGACACGCGACACGCUGGGGGGAUUACCCUCACCGCAGAUGCUCAAACUGCUUUGAUAUAGCGUGAUGUACUGGGUGUUCUAUAAGAAACAGAAUUUCUGAGUUUAGGAAUGGGUCCUGCGUAUGCAGUGGUAAAACAGAGCCAAUAAUUUGCGUCACUCAAAGGUGCUUAUCGUUAUGUGCCUUUACAAUAGUCACUAUACUCCUCUAAGAUGCUAAAUUUAGCACCUUUUGCACACGUUGGUGCCUUUUAAUUUUUUGUUUAUUUGUAGCACUCCUUAAAAAGUCGUGAUUGUCAGGUUCAUUUUUCCAGGCUAUGUGCAGAGCC